UACGGAAGGGGCAAGCGUUGUUCGGAAUCAUUGGGCGUAAAGGGCGCGCAGGUGGUUCUGUAUGCCUACCGUGAAAGCGUACGGCUCAACCGUAUUUUGUCGGUAGAAACUGCAGGACUUGAGGCUGGGAGGGGCUGGUGGAAUUCCCUGUGUAGCGGUGAAAUGCGUAGAGAUGGGGGAGAACACUCGUGGCGAAGGCGGCCAGCUAGACCAGUUCUGACACUGAGGCGCGACAGCGUGGGGAGCAAACAGG
rnacentral:rRNA from 1 species